UAAAUUCUUGCGUGAGUUCUAUUUAAUGAGCAUCUACAGGAGUGAGUGUUGUAAAGUGGUGAUAUAAUGCAGAGUCAGGCAGCAGGCUUCACCACCAUGUACAACUAAAUUGCAGGGGUUUUCUGUGCUUAGUAUGGUAUUUGAAUAAUGCUCAUUUUUAUUUUGGUACAACUUUGACUUGACUGAGGAUGCACUGUUGGAGUUAUAGGGAAAAAUGGCAACUAAAUUUAUUGUUGUUAUUGUUUUAUCAGUAUUUUAUUGGUGUGUAAAGCUGCAUGUAAACUCACAGCUCUGCUGAAAGGCAGGGGAUUGCUUCAAUCCUCACUGUGUCUAAAAAUAGUUUGACUUGUAAUGGCCCAGUGAAACUUGAACAUCUCCCACAGUAGGACGGCUAAAUCCUUAAAGCUGCACUGGUCCUUUUUUUUUUUUAAAUUUGUCAGUUGAUCAAACGACUGUGCAAUGUCAAACUUUUCACUCAUGACAAGCUCACAGAGAAUCAUCAUCCCACUUUGCAGCUCCUCUCAGCUCUGCAGAGCAUUUUAGGAUCAUUCAGCUCAUCGUUUUAAGGCCUGCAGCUUUAGGGCUUUGAUUCACUGUCACCGCUCUCACCACGUUCAUUGUUCUGCAAACAAAACUCUGUCAUGUGUUCGCUACCUGCCCAACACCAGAAGACAAAGUUGGCAACCAGCUGGUAAACAUGGUGGAGCAUUUAGUAGCUAAAUAACUAGAUAUUUCCCUCCCUCAGGAGUGUCCAGAAACACAACUUCAAACAAACAUUAAUGUAGCUCUGUUAUCUCUUUCACAACAAUGACCAGGGUCAGAUCGGGGUUAUCUCAACCCUUCUUUUGUCAGUUAAGUUAUUGCUCCAAAGGUCCUUGUUUGCAAUUUUAUUUGUCCGCAGUGUGAACAAACUCAGCUGCAUCUUAAAUGAUAAUCUGUUGCCCCUUUUUGACAGUCACGGGUUGGCUUGGCUUGGUUUGGGCCGUCAGCCCAGCCCAGCACAGCACAGCACGUAUUUGCAUUUCCACUACAGCAGGGCUACCUUCUUGAAGGUGUGUCAGCUGAUGAUGGCCGGUCUUGAGUGAUGACGUGUGUAGACAGUUCCUGGAUAACAAAGGCAUUGAGGCCAUUGACUAGCCCUCUCGUUCUCCUGACCCAAAUCCAACUGAGCACCUACGGGACGUUAUGUAUUGUGCAUCUGACGCCACAGACUGUCCAGGAGCUCACUGAUGCCCUGAUCCAGGUCUGGGAGGAGAUCCCCCAGGACAAUAUCUGCCGACUCAUCAGGAGCAUGCCCAGACGUUGUCAGGAGUGCAUACAGGCAGGCAGGGGCCAUACACAACACAGAGUCACAUUAUGAGUUGUAUCAGCCUGUGAUUUCAAUCUUUGGUAUGAUUUUCAAUGAUUUGAUUUUGGGUUCCACUGACCGUUGUUAUGUCAUUUUGUUCUCAACAAAUUACACAAUGUACAUCAGUAAAGACUGUCAACUUGAAUAAUUAAUUCAUCAAGAUCUGAUGUGUGAUUCAAGUGCUCCCUUAAUUUUUUUGAGCAGUGUAAUUAAUGAUAAAUGUCUCGGGGGUGUGUCUGUCUUUAGCCCCCUUAACUCUCCCUGUAACAGUUUGUGCUCUGUACACACUUCCCCUCCCUCUUCCUCUGUGUCUGAAUGCCACAGGCCUCUCACCCCUCAGUCCAGAUUUAGACCUCAGUCUCUCCCGGACAUUCAGACCCAGCUGACUGUAGCCGGCUGGUGGUGCACAGGUUCUCUUGUAUCCCUCAGUCUUUUGUUUCCAUUACUUCCUCUCCUUCCUGCCCUUCUUCACUGUGCCUGGACUGAUCUGACAUGGUAGCAGCACCUGCCAGAUGUCUGAGCCGGACAGCGGGACGAGGGUUGUAGUCCAGGGUUUCGCCAAUCGGUGUGGUUCCACAGAGGCGGACCUCCUGCUCCUCUUCCCCAACCAUGGAGCCUCUUGCAGAGGCUAAAUCUUCUAAAGCCUGCAAACAGAGCCAAGAGGAGGUGCAGAAGGUUCCAUUAUUUGAGCUGGACCAUGAGGAGGAUGAGGAAGAGGGUGGCCUCUCAAUGAAGAGCAGAGGUGGCUGUACAUAUGCAACACAUGGCCUUGCGACCCCUGCAGGCACAGACCCUGAUGCCUUCAUAUACGUGAACUUCAUGAAGAGUCACUGCUGCUACGACGCCAUCCCCACCAGCUCCAAACUGGUCAUUUUUGACACAACACUACAGGUGAAGAAGGCUUUCUUUGCUCUGGUGGCUAACGGUGUGAGGGCAGCGCCACUGUGGGACAACAAGCUGAAGUGUUUUGUGGGUAUGCUGACCAUCACUGACUUCAUCAACAUUCUCCAUCGCUAUUACAAGUCUCCUCUGGUUCAGAUCUAUGAGCUGGAAGAACACAAGAUAGAGACAUGGAGAGAGAUCUAUCUACACUCUGUUAACAGACUGAUCAGCAUCACUCCUGACUGCAGUCUGUUUGAUGCCAUCUACUCCUUGUUGAAGAAUAAGAUACACCGACUGCCAGUCAUCGACCCGGCAACAGGAAAUGUUCUCCACAUCCUCACUCACAAACGCAUCCUGAAGUUUCUCCACAUCUUUGGAUCUACGAUUCCUAAACCCAGGUUUCUUCAGAGGCGGAUCAAUGAAGUGGCAAUCGGUACCUUCAAAGAGAUCGCAACAGUCAAGGAAUCGGCCACUGUUUUCGAAGCUCUGAGCAUUUUUGUAGAGAGAAGAGUGUCCGCUCUGCCUGUAGUCAAUGAGCAAGGUAAAGUUGUGGCGCUGUACUCCAGAUUUGAUGUCAUUAACCUCGCAGCCCAGAAAAACUACAACAACCUGAAUAUGACGAUGCGGGAGGCCAUUACCUCCAGAGCCUGCUGGGUGGAGGGAGUCCUCAAGUGUUACCCUUACGAAACCCUGGAGACCAUCAUCGACCGCAUUGCAAGGGCUGAGGUUCAUCGUUUGGUGUUGGUUGACAGCCAAGAUGUGGUGAAAGGGAUUGUCUCACUAUCUGACCUUCUACAAGCCCUGGUUCUCACUCCUGCAGGUAUUGAUGCACUGUACUCCUAACUCCAAUCCUCCUGUUCAUCCCUUGCUCUUUCUUUAUAUCCGUCCAUCCACCCAUCUGCCUUCAAAUCCUCGAGAGUUUCCUGCUUCUUCUGGCGAUCUAUGGUCCUCAUGUUCCCACUGAUCAAACUCUUCUUCAUCGUCAUCCUCCUGAAGACAACAAGGAUCUUUCUUCUCUUCCUGUGAAACUUUCUGGUGUCAAGUUCCAACUCUGCUAAUUUCCUCCCUCUGUGAAAUCCCCUCUUUUCAAGAAUACUACCAAGUGUCCUCAUCGAACAAACGACACCUUUAAGGGAUUCAUCUAAAUCUCCUGUGCUCCUCAAAGGUCAACCUAAAAUAACCCAAUCGCCAGAAUAAAUGUUAGCAUUGCACGUUUCUGCAAACCAUAAGUAUGUUACAUUUGUACAUUAUUAUGUAGUAAAUCCACUGAAACUUUAAGUUUCCACAACACUGUGAUUAAUGUGUGGUUAUGUUUAGGAAAAUAUCAAAUAUCCACUUUUGGUGGCACAACAAAAACAACUGCUUUUAAUGGCACUAUCCCAGCAGGAACGCAGUGGUGUCUCAAUUAAAAUAACCACUUUUCAUGUUACUUUCCUUGGUGGAAACAAGGUGAUGUAUCAUUAUAAAAGCCUGUGUUUGGUGGCUAAAAAGCUGCUGGAACAGGGAUGACUUGCUCUAAAACAACCAGUUUUGUGGUUUGUUGGUCUCGAACAAUGGACCUCAUUGAUCAGCAACUUAGCAGCUGUCUCGCCUAGGUGACACACCAUCAACUGUCCCCUCCACCUCCUGAUCACAAAAUCGGCUCAUAUACUACGUCACGUUAGAAAUGUUGAUGUGAUACCUAUCAAAUGUACAAAUGUAACAUAUUCAUGGUUUGUAGAAACUUACAAUGCCAACAUUUUCUUCUGUCGACUGGGCUGCAAAUAACCAUCUCUUCAAAGUCAACCAGUCAACCGUUGAAGCAUCAAACAAAAUGUGCCUGGAGCCUGCUCUUUCACAUCCUGUCCCUGGAAAAUAUACAAGAGUACCUUCAAAACUCUCUGCCCAGCCACAGUCAACUCUUCUUUCACUAUUGAAUACUUGAUCCUCUAACACAGCUUCAAGACAACAGUUACCUCCACCAGAGUCCUGCAAUCUUACCUUCCAACCAACCAAGAAGUUUCCUUAUCCUCUACGUUCUACAAAGUCCAACGCUGAACCUCCACACCCUCUCUCAAACGCCCCUUUCAUCGGUCUUGAUGCUGCAGUUCCUCCUCUGAAACCACCAUGCCACCAGCACCUCUUAGCCAACACAUCCCAGGUAUUUACGCGGGAUCAUACUGUCAAGAUGGAUGACAACAAGAUGGAGAUUAAUCACGUAAAAGACUAUGAGGUGGCAAAGUAAAUGAGAGGUUAGCAGAGCGGGUGUGACGAAGAAGUCACUGUUUUCAGUCCCCGUCAGGAGACAAAUAUAGAAAAAGAAAGUGACAAUCGUUCUUACCAAUAAAAUGGACGCCAGAAAAGACUGUGGUUGUGCUGGGAAGCUGCCAGUGUUGAACUAUAUCACAGGUGUGGCUGGAAAACAGCACUCAACUAAUACACAUCCAGAGACUUCUGAACUGACUCUGACUAAAGAAUAACUUGGUGGUUAUUUUGGGAGUUCUGGUUUGUUGAUUCGACAUUAUUAAAAAAAAAGGUUGGGGAUGGAAUGUUUAAUGGUUUGUAGGAUAUUAUAUUUAAUGGUUUUUACUUGACUUUCUGGUCUUAGUAUGAUUGCAAAUUCAUUCAUACAUUGAAAAUAUUGGAUUUACAUUUUUGUAAAUGUACUUGUGUUCCAAUCACUGUGAAAAAUAAAGGUUAAAUGUUUUGCUUUGAA